GAUGAACGCUGGCGGCGUGCCUAACACAUGCAAGUCGAACGGACAGGCGCGGCUCUUGCUGGUUGCACGUGAGGCGAAGGGGUGAGUAUCACGUGAGUAACCCCUCCCUGUCUUUGUGAUAACUCUAGGAAAAAGCGGAUCUUAUCGGGUAUGAGCUCUUGAUGCACGGUGGUGGUAGGAAAGAUUCGGCGGUUGGGGAUGUACUCGAGGGUUAUCCGCUUGUUGGUCUAGUAGUGGCUUACAACGGGUACGACGGAUAGCCGGCAUGAGAGGGGGACCGGCCACAUGGGUACUGAGAGACGGCCCAGAAGGCUACGGGAGGCAGAAGGGGAGAAUAUUGCGCAGUGGGCGGAAGCCUGAUGCAGCGACGCCGCGUGCGUGAUGACGGCCUACGGGUUGUAAACCGCUGUCGACGGUGACGAGGAGUGAGUGACGGUAAUGGGUAAGAAAGCAACGGCUAACUACGUG
rnacentral:rRNA from 1 species